rnacentral:rRNA from 1 species
GACGAAUGCUGGCUGCGUGCUUAACACAUGCAAGUCGAACGGUGAAGGGGAGCUUGCUCCCCGGAUCAGUGGCGAACGGGUGAGUAACACGUGGGCAACCUGCCCCUCACUCUGGGAUAACUCCGGGAAACCGGGGCUAAUACCGGAUACGACCGGGAGCGACAUCGCUCCUGGUGGAAAGAACUUCGGUGAGGGAUGGGCCCGCGGCCUAUCAGCUAGUUGGUGGGGUAACGGCCCACCAAGGCGACGACGGGUAGCCGGCCUGAGAGGGCGGCCGGCCACACUGGGACUGAGACACGGCCCAGACUCCUACGGGAGGCAGCAGUGGGGAAUAUUGCGCAAUGGGCGAAAGCCUGACGCAGCGACGCAGCGUGGGGGACGAAGGCCUUCGGGUUGUAAACCUCUUUCAGCGGGGACGAAGCGAAAGUGACGGUACCCGCAGAAGAAGCACCGGCUAACUACGUGCCAGCAGCCGCCGUAAAAC